UAUGAAAAACAGUAGCUUCAUAAUGAGCCUUAGUAUUUGAUUCCCUUACUUUGUCACCCCAAAAUAAACGAACGCCUGGCGAAUCCAUGGAACUUGAGAGGAUUAUCACCAUCAGGAGUCACCACCACCACCACCACCCGUACCCUCCUUCACAUCGUCGAGGCCUUCAUUGGCCUCUCGUUUUCAUAAAACAUAGAAAAUUACCCUUUUUUUACAAACGAAUUAAUUACAAACAAAGUACAAACCUCUUCAUUAUCAUUAUCGUUUCUCUUCAAUGGGGAAGGGUGCUUUGUUGUUUCGCUCCAUCCGGCGUCGUUUAAAAAGAAACGUGGCCCCCCGCCGCCAAUGCCGCCUCCGCUCCUCUCGGUGGGUGCUUCGGCUCAGAGCAUGAUCAGUGGUGGGUCGGUGCCGGCCGUGGCGGCAAAGGGGAAGAAGAAAGCGAGGCUGUGGAUGAGGUUUGAUUUCUCGGGAAAAUGGGAGAUUGUUGAAUGUGAUAAGGGUGUUAUUAUCGAACGCGCGGGAAUUCCGGCGAGGGAUUUGAGGAUUCUUGGCCCUGUGUUCUCUCACUCUUCUAAUAUCCAUGCUAGGGAGAAGGCCAUUGUUAUCAAUUUGGAGUUCAUAAAAGCUAUAGUUACGCUUCAAGAAGUGCUGUUGCUUGAUCCUCUCCGCCAGGAAGUGCUUGCUUUUGUGGAUCAGCUUAGGCAACAACUUCCAUCUGGAGCAAAGGCUGCAGACAUGCAAGAUACUGAAUUGCAGGUUUCCACGCAUGAAAAGUGGUCACCUAUUCCAGAAUCUGUUGAAGGUGUACAGAACGAGCUUCCAUUUGAGUUUCAGGUUCUGGAGAUUGCAUUAGAGGUUGUUUGUACAUAUUUGGGCUUGAGUGUGGCUUACCUUGAGAGAGACUCUUACCCUGUAUUGGAUGAACUGGCAAGAAGCGUUAGCACCAAGAAUCUUGAACAUGUGCAAAGUUUGAAAAGCAAUCUUACACGUCUACUUGCACGUGUACAAAAGGUGAGGGAUGAGAUAGAGCAUUUACUAGAUGACAAUGAAGAUAUGGCACAAUUAUAUUUAACAAGGAAGCACGUCCAGAAUCAGCAAGCUGAGGCCUUGCUAGUAGCUGCAGCUUCAAAUAGUAUUGUUGCUAGAGCACCUCAUCAUUAUCGACUUAGCUCUAGCAAGAGUGGAAGUUUGGUGACAAGUACCUUUAUGGAUGAUAAUGAUGUCAAAGAUUUGGAGAUGUUGCUUGAAGCUUACUUUAUGCAGCUAGAUGCAACACGCAACAGGAUACUUUCUGUCCGUGAAUAUAUCGAUGACACGGAAGACUAUGUGAAUAUCCAACUUGACAACCAGCGUAACAAACUCAUCCAGUUCCAAUAGAUAUUGGCCAUUGCAUCAUUAACUAUAGGUUUUAACACCUUGAUAACUGGGAUAUUUGGGAUGAACAUCCCUUUUCCAUUGUAUAAAAUUGAUGGCAUAUUUGGAAUCUUUGUUGGAAGCACAACUGCUGCUGCUGUUCUGCUUUUCAUACUCCUGCUAGGAUAUGCCGGAUGGAGGAAGCUGCUUGUGUCACCAGCUGUACAGAAAGAGUUGAAUUGUCUGGAUCCGUUGCUGGACUGAUCCAAAAGAUCGAUUGCCUUAUGAUGUAAUGAUUCAGAUGGAGUAAUAUUAUACAGAGAAGAAUUGAUGCAGGGAAAAAAAAAAUGCAUUUUGGACACCAUUUCAUACUGAACUGGCCUUUUAUGACAAGUUUAGAUUGAAUUAGAGAGAAGAUCCAACAUUGUAAAACAGUCAAAAUAUUAUUACUUGUAUGGAUGUAAAUUACUUGCAUAAAAUUUUAAAUGCUUAUGGGAGAAUUAUUGUUAUUUUAUAUGAAUAUAAAGUGUUUAU